rnacentral:rRNA from 1 species
UACGGAGGGUGCAAGCGUUAAUCGGAAUUACUGGGCGUAAAGCGCACGCAGGUGGCUGAGUCAGUCGAUUGUGAAAGCCCUGGGCUUAACCUGGGAAUUGCAGUCGAUACUACUCAGCUAGAGUAUGGGAGAGGGUAGUGGAAUUCCCGGUGUAGCGGUGAAAUGCGUAGAUAUCGGGAGGAACAUCAGUGGCGAAGGCGGCUACCUGGCCCAAUACUGACACUCAGGUGCGACAGCGUGGGGAGCAAACAGGAUUAGAUACCCCUGUAGU